rnacentral:rRNA from 1 species
AUGGUGAAUUCCUGGGCGAUAUCUGAUGAACCAGACCAGGUUGUUUGGAACCUUGGAAAGAACAAGCGCCUUGCAACCAAAUCUAUGUAUUCUCACCUGGAAAGUCACCUCUCUGGAUGUAGUUAUAGUUGGGUUUGGAAAGCUAAACUUCCUCUCAAGAUUCAAAUCUUAUUCUGGCAAUUAUUCCAAGAUGCGGUGCUGACACGUGAUGUCAUGAAAAGACGUAACUGGGCUGGUAACCCGAAAUGCUCCUUCUGUUAG